rnacentral:rRNA from 1 species
AUUGAACGCUGGCGGCAGGCCUAACACAUGCAAGUCGAGCGGAUGAGAGGAGCUUGCUCCUCGAUUCAGCGGCGGACGGGUGAGUAAUGCCUAGGAAUCUGCCUAGUAGUGGGGGACAACGUUUCGAAAGGAACGCUAAUACCGCAUACGUCCUACGGGAGAAAGUGGGGGAUCUUCGGACCUCACGCUAUUAGAUGAGCCUAGGUCGGAUUAGCUAGUUGGUAGGGUAAAGGCCUACCAAGGCGACGAUCCGUAACUGGUCUGAGAGGAUGAUCAGUCACACUGGAACUGAGACACGGUCCAGACUCCUACGGGAGGCAGCAGUGGGGAAUAUUGGACAAUGGGCGAAAGCCUGAUCCAGCCAUGCCGCGUGUGUGAAGAAGGCCUUCGGGUCGUAAAGCACUUUAAGUUGGGAGGAAGGGCUCAUAGCGAAUACCUGUGAGUUUUGACGUUACCAACAGAAUAAGCACCGGCUAACUUCGUGCCAGCCGCCGCCGUAA